rnacentral:lncRNA from 1 species
UGGGAUUAUCAUUUUUAUUUCAAGUUUUAAAUUUGAAUAUUGAGACUAUCAUUUUUUCUAAACAAGCCAAAUAAUUAACACCAUUAGAAUAAGUGCAAUGAUCACUUUGUCACAAAGAGCAGACUUUCUCAUAUAUUUAUUUUUACAAUAAAUAUAACACAAAUUUUCUUUACAACAAGAAUUGAACAAAUCAAAAAGAAUUUCUAAGUGUGGAUC